UACGAAGUUCGUUCUGAAAUGGGGUGGUUAGUGUAUUGUAUAGUUCUAGAGAUUGGAUUUCACUCAAAACCCACCAAAUGACUCCUCCCACAAUGUUAUGAUGUUCCCCAAGUUUUGGACUCAAUCCGAUAUCGAUUGGUCCUUGAAAUCGGAUAAUUCAGGUUCGUCCGAAGUUCGUUCUGAAAUGGAGUGGUUGGUGUAUUGUAUAGUUCUAGGGAUUGUAUUUCACUCAAAACUUUACCAAAUGACUCCUCCCACAAUAUUAUGAUGUUUCCCAAGUUUUGGACUCAAUUGCGAUACCGAUUGGUCCUUGAAAUCGGACAAAUUCAGGUUCGUACNNNNNNNNNNNNNNNNNNNNNNNNNNNNNNNNNNNNNNNNNNNNNNNNNNNNNNNNNNNNNNNNNNNNNNNNNNNNNNNNNNNNNNNNNNNNNNNNNNNNNNNNNNAAGUUUUGGACUCAAUGCGAUACCGAUUGGUCCUUGAAAUCGGACAAUUCAGGUUCGUACGAAGUUCGUUCAUAAAUGGGGUGGUUGGUGUAAUAACCCAAACCAAAAUAUCUAAAAAUUAGGAUUUCUUUAUUCUACCUAAAAGACGAUUUUGCCCUCGCAUAUUUUUAAUAGAGAAAAAGUUGACUUUUCAAUCGAGAAAGAAUUUGACAAUUCCGCUUGCGCUGUUGCGUAGAGCACGGCGAAACGAGUUCGUAGACACGGAGUAGACUCGAAUCGGAGUUGUAACGAAGAAAAUACGAUCAAAAUACCGCGAAGGGCAAAAUGGUAUUUUAGCUAAAAAGUCAGAUUUUUAUUCCUUCCUUCCUUUUCUCUCCUCAUUUUUCGCUCUCUUCUCUUUCUCCUCCCGAUCUCGCACGACCAGCUGACCUUCGCUCGCUUUCGACGUCGCCACGGCCGCCACACUUGGAGCCGAUCUCCGCCGUUGGUACCAAACGAACCACCACGCGACCGUCGUCAUUUCCUGACCCGUCGCCGCCGUUUACGCGGCCGGAGCUCGCCGGAAUCCGCCAUUUUUACCGGUUUUCCAGUUCGAACUUUGAGCUCUUCGUUCUCCUUCAAUUCUCCACCAAAUCGAUCGAGUAAGGCACCAGAGGUCCAGUUGACCCACAGGAGGGACCUUCGAAGGGUCCAGCUAGCUCGGACCAACAGUGAGUGGACUUUUCUUUCUUAAACGGUUUUAUGAUUAUAUUUUCUAUUUGAUUUUGAAUAAGUGUUAUAGCAUGAAUUUUAUUGUGAAAUAUCUUUAUUUUUCUUAUAAAAUUUAGCCGAGCAAACAGAUGUGAGGUUCUUGAUACAGAAAUAGUAAUUUAGCUCAGAUUUACCAGAAUACAGUGGAUUAUCAGAAUUUAUCAGAGAUAGUUAUUUUAGAACCACCGUGUACCCAUUAUCUUUGGUGAUAACCCACAGUCGGACCGAUGUCUACGGACAUCCAGUCUAAUUUCAGUUACGUCAGUGCACUUGACUUUGCCUCACGAGUUUCGGGGACGCUCGGACCGUGAGUGCCAGGAUUUGCGGCUCGGCAGACUUGGUGUCCCGAGACCUGCCAGGAUUUGCGGCUCGGCUGACUCUGUGUCCCCGAGACCUGCCAGGAUUGCGGAUCAGGCUGACUGCGGUCCCCUGCAUCCUGCCAGAGCGGCUCGAGUCGACUUGGUGUCAUCGAGACCUGCUGGCGGGUCAGGCUGAUCAUAGUCCCUUGAUUUCGCCAGUUUGCGGCUCGGGUAGACUGCGUGACGCCCGAGACCUGCCAGGGGAAUUGACGGACAUGACAGGGGUACAACUAGGUGGUAGUUUCAAAGGAUUUUGAGCUCUUUUAUCCAGUUAUGAUUUCCCGUGAUUUUAUACCAGUUUCUUUGAUAUUCAUGCGUUAUUAUCUUUAUAUAUUUGAUCAGUUAUGCAAGUCUAUUCAUCAGUAUAUUUAUUCAUGUUUAUUGAAUUCCUUAUAUUGAAAUAUAGCUAAAUUAACGAUUUAUAUCCCUAGUAUUUCAAAACGGGGGUUAUUAUGUUCUAAAUUGUUUUUAAGAACUUUAUUUUUUGUCCACUCACAACUUUAAACUUGUUUUUCGCCCCCAGGCCGUAGAAGUACGAAGGAAACCACUCGGGCCAUCUUCCCAGCUUCCGCCCCACCACCAAAGUGUAGGAUUUCAUUGUAAAUUUCUUAAAGUUCUGUAAAUGUGUAGAAAUGCUCUGAUAUCUAGUUGGAACUGAAAAACUGGAGUUGAGUUUUGUGUUUGGAGAUAUUCUGGCCGUUGUUAUGGUUUUUGGGCUUGUUUAACAGGUGGAAGACUUUGGGUUUGGUCAAAAUAUAGGGGAGACUCUGCCGAAUUUUCGGCAGAAGUCUAAGGGGAGUUUUCAAAGAAUUUGAAACGAAAAGGGUAAAAAGGUCUUUUGUGCCCGACAUUCGCCAGGUGUCGGACACGCACAGGACUUGGCUCGAAUUCCAAAGCGGAAAUUGGGUCGGGUCCUGUCAGUUGGUGUAUUGUAUAGUUCUAGAGAUUGGAUUUCACUCAAAUCCCUCCAAAAGACUCCUCCAACAAUAUUAUGAUGUUCCCUAAGUUUUGGACUCAAUCUGAUAUUGAUUGGUCAAUGAAAUCGGGCAAUUCAAGUUCGUACGAAGUUCGUUCAAAAAUGGAGUGGUUGGUGUAUUGUAUAGUUCUAGGGAUUGUAUUUCACUCAAAACUUACCAAAUGACUCCUCCCACAAUAUUAUGAUGUUUCCCAAAUUUUGGACUCAAUGCGAUACCGAUUGGUCCUUGAAAUCGGACAAUUCAAGUUCGUACGAAGUUCGUUCAUAAAUGGGGUGGUUGGUGUAUUGUAUAGUUCUGGGGAUUGUAUUUCACUCAAAACUUACCAAAUGACUCCUCCCACAAUAUUAUGAUGCUUCCAAAGUUUUGGACUCAAUCCGAUAUCGAUUGGUCCUUGAAAUCGGACAAUUCAAGUUUCUACAAAAUUCGUUCUGAAAUGGGGUGGUUGCUGUAUUGUAUAGUUCUAGAGAUUGGAUUUCACUCAAAACCCUCCAAAUGACUCCUCCCAGAAUAUUAUGAUGUUCCCCAUGUUUUGGACUCAAUCCGAUAUCGAUUAGUCCUUGAAAUCGGACAAUUCAGGUUCGUACGAAGUUCGUUCUGAAAUGGGGUGGUUGGUGUAUUGUAUAGUUCUAGAGAUUGGAUUUCACUCAAAUCCAAGGAAAUGGCUCCUCCCACAAUAUUAGGAUGUUCCCCAAGUUUUGGACUCAAUCCGAUAUCGAUUAGUCCUUGAAAUCGGACAAUUCAGGUUCGUACGAAGUUCGUUCUGAAAUGGGGUGGUUGGUGUAUUGUAUAGUUCUAGAGAUUGGAUUUCACUCAAAUCCCUCCAAAUGACUCCUCCCAGAAUAUUAUGAUGUUCCCCAAGUUUGGACUCAAUCCGAUAUCGAUUGGUCCUUGAAAAUCGGACAAUUCAAAGUUUCUACAAAAUUCGUUCUGAAAUGGGGUGGUUGGUGUAUUGUAUAGUUCUAGAGAUUGGAUUUCACUCAAAACCCUCCAAAUGACUCCUCCCACAAUAUUAUGAUGUUCCCCAAGUUUUGGACUCAAUCCGAUAUCGAUUAGUCCUUGAAAUCGGACAAUCCAGGUUCGUACGAAGUUCGUUCUGAAAUAGGGUGGUUGGUGUAUUGUAUAGUUCUAGAGAUUGGAUUUCACUCAAAUCCCUCCAAAUGACUCCUCCCA
rnacentral:lncRNA from 1 species